rnacentral:rRNA from 1 species
UACAGAGGUCUCGAGCGUUGUUCGGAUUCAUUGGGCGUAAAGGGUGCGUAGGUGGCGCCGUAAGUCGGGUGUGAAAUUUCGGAGCUUAACUCCGAAACUGCAUUCGAUACUGCGGUGCUUGAGGACUGGAGAGGAGACUGGAAUUCAUGGUGUAGCAGUGAAAAUGCGUAGAGAUCAUGAGGAAGACCAGUGGCGAAGGCGGGUCUCUGGACAGUUCCUGACACUGAGGCACGAAGGCCAGGGGAGCAAACGGG